rnacentral:rRNA from 1 species
AUUGAACGCUGGCGGCAGGCCUUACACAUGCAAGUCGAGCGGCAGCGGAAAAGUAGCUUGCUACUUUUGCCGGCGAGCGGGGACGGGUGAGUAAUGCCUGGGAAAUUGCCCAGUCGAGGGGGAUAACAGUUGGAAACGACUGCUAAUACCGCAUACGCCCUACGGGGGAAAGCAGGGGACCUUCGGGCCUUGCGCGAUUGGAUAUGCCCAGGUGGGAUUAGCUAGUUGGUGAGGUAAUGGCUCACCAAGGCGACGAUCCCUAGCUGGUCUGAGAGGAUGAGAAGCCAAACUGGAACUGAGACACGGUCCAGACUCCUACGGGAGGCAGCAGUGGGGAAUAUUGCACAAUGGGGGAAACCCUGAUGCAGCCAUGCCGUGUGUGUGAAGAAGGCCUUCGGGUUGUAAAGCACUUUCAGCGAGGAGGAAAGGUUGAUGCCUAAUACGUAUCAACUGUGACGUUACUCGCAGAAGAAGCACCGGCUAACUCCGUGCCAGCCGCCGCAGUAAGAC